GGGAGACCCGCCGGAGUUGCCGCCUCGCCCGCACGAGCUACCACCGCCGUCCUCCGCCCAUUCCGGCGCCGGAUCUACUCCCUCUCGGCCCCGAUCAGCAACCAAGAAAAUGGGUAUGGCAGCCCAUGUUUGGCCCGUUUUGGCCACCUUCCCGAGCUCGGAUGCUCGGCCCGCCUUGAGGAAAGUCGAUCCUCGCGUUGUCCCCGUCGUUUUGGUCCGCUCGGUUCGCUAAUCCGGUCUCUAGAUGGCGGUCGUGGAGGACCCGAAGCCCUAAGUCUGGAAAGGUGGAGAUUGAAGUAUCGGUGAACGUGUCAUGCUAGUUGGUUUUAGGAUGGUUCCCCUUUUAUCGAGCUGGUCUAUUUUGUAGACAGUCCAGAGUUGUAUUUAAACCUAUGUGUUUGGAAAUGAGUGUUUGGUAUUGUGAUUGAUUGCCUGCUUUUCUAUCCCAA